UGGUGAAUGGAAUAUAAACGUAACUCAGCAUGCCACACAUGUAAUUGGAGUGCAAGUCAUUGGACACACAAAACACGUGGUUCACGUGUUAAGAAUAAAACUCAGAAGUAAAUUCAAAACAUGUUCUCCUUUCUCCUAACCUUCGCUCCCCCUCCGCCGCGCUGGAGGUCGCCUCCGACGGAGGAGGAUACUCAAUGACCAUAAUCAAUACCUCAUCUAAUCCAGUUUCAUAGCCUAAAUCCAAAAAUCAAAGUGUAUAUGUCUAAUUCCUAAAAAAAACUCGAAUCAAAGUAAAUUAUCUGAAGAACCCUAGCAAUUCAAGAAGAAAUUAAAUCACACUCUCUCGGAGUAAAAUCCCUAGAGGUUAGGGCUUUGACUCCCCUAACCUUAUGCUACAUACUGGUAACUCCUACAUAGUGAAAUGGUGAAGAAGAAGAUGAAGACUCACCGGAGCAGCGCCAGAGUCAGAAAUGACGCCUUACCAAGAUGUGGUGCAGGAUUGCUGGUCUGUUGGCUUGUGGUUGGUUGGUCAGUGUUGGCGCAAUGGUAUGCAAGAUGGUUGGCAAGGUGGUUGAAAAUGUUUGGAUGGUGGUUCGAAUGUUCAUUGCUUGCAGGAUGAUGCAAGAUUGCUUGAUUGUUGCAACUGACCUGACUUGGUAUUGUUGCAGAGUUUAUAUAUGCUGCUUGGAUCAUGUUUUGGUCUAGGCUUGGCAGGUUAUGUUGUUGGAUUUUUUGUAGAGUUUGUGUGCUAAUGUUACAGGGUGCUAGGCUUUUGGAUUUGCCCUGGCUUAUUUUUUUAAAAGGAUAAUGGUGUAGGUUUAUGGUUAGGUCCUGCUUAAGGCUCAAUGCCAGGCUAGACUUAAAAUGAGCUUGGUUAUGUCUUGCUUGCCUUAGGACUGUUUGUAUAGGUCUUAAGUGUUGUUCAUGGUUGUUUGGCAUGAUUUUGUGUGUGUUGUAAUAUCAUGUAUGUGUGUAUUUAUAAUUUGGUCUUGGUUAUGUAUAUGUUAAGUCAUUUGGUCAUGGUUGUAAUGGAAUGAACAUGGUUUAAGUAUUGGUUUGAAAUGAACAUGGUUUAUGUGAUUUUUGGA